rnacentral:rRNA from 1 species
AACGAACGCUGGCGGCAGGCCUCAUACAUGCAAGUCGAGCGGACGGACCCCUUCGGGGGCGAGUUAGCGGCGAACGGGUGAGUAACAGGUGGAUGAUCUGCCUCCCGGUGGGGGAUAACGGCUGGAAACGGCCGCUAAUACCGCAUUCGGUCGAUGCGUUGCGGCGCAUCAAAGAAAGGCGCUUCACGGCGCUGCCGGGAGAUGAGUCCGCCCCCCAUUAGCUAGUUGGCGGGAUAACAGCCCACCAAGGCUUCGAUGGGUAGCCGAACUGAGAGGUUGAUCGGCCACACUGGAACUGAGACACGGUCCAGACACCUACGGGUGGCAGCAGUAGGGAAUAUUGGGCAAUGGGCGAAAGCCUGACCCAGCCAUGCCGCGUGAGUGACGAAGGUCCUAUGGAUUGUAAAGCUCUUUUCUGAGGAAAGAACAUCCGGGGUAGGAAAUGACCCCGGCUUGACGGUACCUCAGGAAUAAGGAACGGCUAACUCCGUGCCAGCAGCCGCGGUAAAA